ensembl:lncRNA LINC02395 long intergenic non-protein coding RNA 2395
AGGUACAACAGAGACAGCUGUUUGUCCCCCAGUAUCCUUCAGACAAAGCCAUAUAUGAUUGAAGGUUAUCAGUACUGUGCUUUUGGAGGAUUCAGAAGAAGUUAUAUCUGAUUGGGAGAUUGAAAAGGAUUGGCCUGAAGGAGAGGUGGUUUUUGAACUGCAUCUUAAAGGAUGAGGAAACUGAGGCUGAGAGGGUAGAGAACUUUGCCUGAGGUCACUCAGCAGGGACCCACCCAUCACAGUAAAUGCCAGCACUGCUGAUGCCAAAACAAUGUUAUUUGUAGGCCCUCGGAAUUUGUGACCUGAAGGAAGAAGAGCAGGGCCGUGGGAAGUAUGUAACCAGUGUCAUGCCCCUGGUCCCAAGGAAGCAGUGGCUUGGUAAAGAGGGGACCCCCGUCAAUAACUCCCUGUAAUUACUGGGCACCCACUCUGAGCUCCUCAGUGGAAUCCUAAGGUUAAUAAGACUGUCUCUAGCCACUGGGGCUCCCAGCCUGGAGUGAGGUAAGAGGAGUGGAGCCGGCUGGGGAGGGAGACGAACACAUACACAGAAGAUUCAGACACACUUGCAAUGUAUUGCUGGGGAUUCUCCAGCAUUGGCAUGAUGGAGAGGGUGGAGAAUCAUUUGACCGCCUCCGCCUAGGAUUGCAGAGUUCAGCUGGCCAUCAUCCACCAGCCGGGGGACUGUGCACAUCAGUUAACCUCUCCUCUCAGGCCUUGAAAAGCACCAGGCUUAGUACACGUUUGUUAAAUGAAUGCACUGCAGUUUUUUUGCUUGUUAAAGGCAGGUAAUAAUAAUGAUAUUGCUGACUAAGGGCUCCCAUCCACUCCCAGUGAGCCCGGUGCCCCCCCGGGCCUCCUCAGUGAGCUGAGGAGGCUCAGCAGUGCCUGCACGUCCCCUCGCCACAAUGUCAUGUGCCACCUCUUCAAAGGAGGGAUGUACCAGCUAGUGGACGUGACCUUGACUGCAAAGGGCGGCACGCAGCUGAUGUAAUGGUCGCUUAAGUGUUCACAAAUGCCUGAACACCCUGUCCUACCUGGUCCUACCUGGAUGCUGGCCUCAGUAAGCUCCUGGGCUCAUUGAAGAUGAACCUAGCAGUAGUAUUUACACCACUUGUUGUGUGCCCACUGUGGGCCCGGCGCCAUGCCGAGUGCUCUAUGGAUGUGAGAUGAGAACACUGAAGCAGUUUUUUCUAAAGAUAGCUGCCUGGCACAGUGGCUCACAUCUGUAGUCCCAGCAUUUGGGGAGGCCAAGGCAGGUGGAUCACUUGAGGCCAGGAAUUCAAGACCAGCAUGGCCAACAUGUGCUGGGAGAGAAAAGCAUACGACAUAGACAGGGAGGUCAAGCUCCACCACGCAGAUGAGGUGCAGGCCACCAGUCUUCCUCUGCCACAUCUCUUUCUGAAAAGAGCUCGCCGCAAGUUGUAUAAGCUUCAGGAACCACACAACCCGAACCCACCUCUGCAUAGCCAGGCUCUUCCUUGCCAGGCACUUCUCUUGAAGGAACAUUGAGGUUUGAACCAGAAGAGCUGGAUUUGAGCCACAGCUUUGUACGGACUAGCUAUGUGACUUUGGAAAUAAUAACAACAGCUGACAUUUAUCAAGCUUUACUACAUGUCAGUCACUGUGCUAAGCUUUUGCAUGCUUCAUUGCGUGUAAAAUUCAGAAAUGCCUUUCGACCUCUCAAA